GGAGGAAAAGAAACCAACAGGGAUUGCCCUAGUAAUGGCGAAUGAACAGGCAAAAGCUCAGAUUUGAAACCCUCGGGAUUGUAAUCUGGAGACCUGGAUUUGGCACGCUGACCAAGUCUUCUGGAACGGAGCGCCAUGGAGGGUGACAGCCCCGUAGCAGCAGCCACUGUAAAUCCGGGUCGACGAGUCGAGUUGUUUGGGAAUGCAGCUCUAAGUGGGUGGUAUGCUCCAUCUAAAGCUAAAUAUUGGCGAGAGACCGAUAGCGAACAAGUACUGUGAAGGAAAGAUGAAAAGAACUUUGAAAAGAGAGUGAAAAAGUACGUGAAAUUGUUGAAAUGGAAGGCAAUGAGGUGCGAUUGAACCGGACGUUUGCGGGCAGGACAAAAGCGCAGGCCGCCUCGGCAUUGCCUGCGUGCAUACUGCCUCGCGGACUACCAGUUCUAACAACGCCUUAUUGCACCCGUCUUGA
rnacentral:rRNA from 1 species